ensembl:lncRNA
GAAAUUCUCAGGUGGAAUUCAUGGACCAGCAAUUCAGGGACCAAUUAGAUCUGCCUCCCCCAGUCUGGGCAAAGCUUCACGGGUACUUCACAGAUUCCAGCCCAUCUGUGCACCUGCUUUUAGACUCCUUUUAUGCUUACUACAGCGCUGAAGGCAGAGACCCCAAGAUUCAUGUGAGGCCCAAGCAAUACCAGCUAAGAUUGCCCCUCAAAGUCAGGGAAGCCUCAUGGACAGAGAAGCCUGACAGGCUACAGUUCAUGGGAUUCUCCAGGCAAGAAUAUUGGAGUGGAUUGCCAUUUCCUUCUCCAGGGGAUCUUUUCAACCCAGGAAUUGAACCUGGGUAUCCUGCAUUGUAGGCAGAUUCUUUACCAACUCAGCAACAAGGUCAGUUCUGGACUCUUGCUGCUUCAAUAAGAUGCUACCUUCCUUCUCCAAAGCCCAGAGGUAAAGUCCCAGGAGCUGCCUGGAUUGACGGGCUUCCUCUUUCUGGUCAAGCACCUGCUGGAGCCCCUGGACUGCCACAUGACUUUGGCCGAGUUCCUGAGCCAGCUCCAAACACAGGACAUUAAUGAGCAUCUGGAGCUCCUCCUCAGACAGCAGGAUGAUACUGGAUAGGUCUUCCUUCAGCUGCCUGGCGACGUUCUUCCACUUCAACCCUGCCCUGCUGUUUCACCUCUGUUGAAGGAUUCCUGGGUAAUCCAAGCUGUACCUCCAUCUGAAUUGUGUGUCCACUUCUCAUUCCCAGCCAAGCCACAAACUUAGUAUUGGUAGGAAGACACAGGAAGUAAUCAUUGUCAUCCGCUAUAGUGACAUCGUCUGCCAGGCAGGGUGACUGGUGCCAGGGACUUAUCAAUGGCCAGAAUGUCACAAGCCUUGUUCCUCAGCUGUUUGAGACAAGAAAUGGCCACACCAUGCUGUUCCUGGCUAUUGUUGCAGCACAGCAGACACUGCUUUAAAGAGCCUGGAUUUUUAAUGUUAUACUCAAAUCUAAUUUAUUU